GAGCAAUGAUGAGACAUAAUCCAUACUCCAUAACCUGAUAAUGUACAUAAUCUAUGAGUAAACACCCGAAAUCUAGAAGCCGAUCCAGAGUGAAACGAACUUACGAUAAACAAAUACAUACCUACUUACUCCCACUGAUCACUGUGCGGUGACUUUGUGAUAUAAAUCACAGGUGUGUGUCGAGAUCGCUAUGUAUAUCAUCGGAUAUUAUACGAGCACGGAUUAAUACAACUGUCGUGACUGUAUCUCUCAACAGGCGACACGGCGCACUCAAGUCCGAUGGUGGCGGUGUAACAGGCAAAUCAUACCCCCGGAAAAUAUUACCGAUGGGGAAGUACAUACCAUUGUCUUUACAUGUUGAAACGGAGUGCCGGGAUUACCGACACCCGGAUCUUUUUAUAAAUGUUCACGAAAUAAAUAUCAAGUUAUUUAUUUAACAUUAAAUAAAAGUAAUACAUUUAAUAAAAUUAUUCCGGGCCGCGCGGCUGGUUCGAAUAUGCGACCGCGGCAAGCGGUAUUGGACCUGAGCAGAUGCGAUAAAAAAUUGGAUACACAGUCGACAGCAGACUUAAGCAAACAAGCGUAUCGACCGUGAUCACUUUACCAGCGGACACUUGUGUAAGUGCGCAGGAAAGGUUUAUACGGAUAAUGACCCUGAAAAGGGCCGUUUUUAGUGUCGACGAAUCGCGGAGCUCCGCGUGUAAACAUCGUCGGAGCCGGAUUCGUGGGUUGUCUUAUUCAUCGUUGUUUUUCACGGCCGUGGUUA